rnacentral:misc_RNA from 1 species
UUCGGCAUUUCAAGUCCCCAGACCC